rnacentral:rRNA from 1 species
AUUGAACGCUGGCGGCAGGCCUAACACAUGCAAGUCGAGCGGAUGAAGGGAGCUUGCUCCUGGAUUCAGCGGCGGACGGGUGAGUAAUGCCUAGGAAUCUGCCUGGUAGUGGGGAUAAAGUUCGGAAAAGGGCGCUAAUUCCGCAUACGUCCUGAGGGAGGAAGUGGGGGAUUCUUGGACCCCAAGCCAUCCGAUGAACCUAGGUCGGAUUAGCUAGUUGGUGGGGUAAAGGCCUACCAAGGCGACGAUCCGUAACUGGUCUGAGAGGAUGAUCAGUCACACUGGAACUGAGACACGGUCCAGACUCCUACGGGAGGCAGCAGUGGGGAAUAUUGGACAAUGGGCGAAAGCCUGAUCCAGCCAUGCCGCGUGUGUGAAGAAGGUCUUCGGAUUGUAAAGCACUUUAAGUUGGGAGGAAGGGCAGUAAGUUAAUACCUUGCUGUUUUGACGUUACCAACAGAAUAAGCACCGGCUAACUUCGUG